rnacentral:rRNA from 1 species
AUGUCGUUCCACCGCGGCAGCAGCUCCGGCACCGGCGGCGACGACGGACCCAGCGCGUGGCCGUCGAGCCUGAGCACGCCGGAGACGGAGGAGCUUUACCGGUUCGGGCUCCGCGUGCCACCGGGUUGCCGUCUUCUGCACGACUGGAAGCUCGACAAGGACGGCUACCCGACGCGCGGGCCCGGCGCCACGGCGGAGGAGAAGCGGACCGGCGGCCGCAACAACAUCACCGGCCGUCACGCGUUCUGGGACGACAAAGACUACGCCGUCCUCAUCGGCGCGUAUCGGCUGGCGGCAUCCGGCGUCACGCCUGACCUCAUCGGCGACCGUCGCCGCCUUCUUAUCCCGCGCCCCCGUCCAGCAGCGCGCGGCCGUCGGGCUCCUCCACCACCUGCGCCGGCGCCCGCCGAUCCCCCCACCCCGCCGGAGGUGGAACUGCCGCCGGAGCAGUUGGUUCUUCGGGAGGACGGCGAUCCCGACGACACGCCGGGUUACCUCGUCGCCCUGCGCGCGUCGGCGGCUGCAGCGGCGGCUGCAGAGGCGGCGGCGGCUGCAAGGGAGGCCGCCGAGCAGGCGGCAGCGAUCCAGGCGGCGGCGGCGAUUCCGCCAGUGGUCCCGCAGGCGGCGGCGGAGGCGCCGGAGUCGUCGGAUGACGACGUCAUCGACUGGGAGCGGUUAGCCCAGGUCAGCGACGACGAUGACGACAACGGCGCGGGUGACGGCGGUGAUGUUGGGGAGGUCAUUGAUCUGUUGGCUAGCGAGGAGGAGGAGGAGUAG